GAAGGAAGGAAACAGAGGGAAGAGGAUGGAGGGUUUGGUCGAAACUAACGAACAAGUUUUCUGAUACGUCGAACUUCAAUCGCUCGCCACUGUGUUUGAACGCUCUUCAAAUCCGCUGCGCCCGUGUUUCGCAGGGGACGAGAACUUUCGUGUGUUUAUUCACGACGACAACGACGAAGACGACGACGACGAAGUCGUCACGUUUUUCCAAAGACAUUCUCCGCCCCCUUUUCAUCGUCCCCUAGCCGCCUCGCGUGUCGCGUGUUGCUUAUUUAUUUUUCCCCGCCGACGGUCCCCAUUCGACGCGGCAAACGUUUCCUCGUCAAAACAAUUUUUCGAGAAUACGUUUGCCGCGCUCAAAGUCGCGCCUUUCCCUCCGUCCACGAGACAAAAGAUGGCGAGAAACGCGGAAAGACGGCCGUGUUUCUCGCCAAAUGGAAAUACCGUUACGAGGCUUCCGUAUGUGUGUAUUCCGUGUGUGUGUGUGUGUGUGUAGGCGAAAUUCACGAAUGCACGCUACGUGGCACCACGGUUGCACCACCAGGACAAGAUGGAAGGGUAGACGAGUCGGUUUACUUAGCAUUUUGCCUCGCGUCGGAGGGAAGAAAGGAGCUAUUGUCGGUGUUAUAGUUUUGGACGUCGUAUACAGAAGCUUAUCUCGUGUUUAUUUUUGAAACGUAUCGAGCGGGAUAAUGGAGUUGUCGUGUUGAUUAUU